UACGAAGGGGGCGAGCGUUGUUCGGCUUUACUGGGCUUAAAGGGCGCGCAGGCGGCGAGAUUUGUCAGGCGUGAAAGCCCCGGGCUUAACCUGGGACUGGCGUUUGGGACUGGGUCGCUAGAGUGAGGCAGAGGGAGGUGGAAUUCCACGUGUAGCAGUGAAAUGCGUAGAGAUGUGGAGGAACACCGAUGGCGAAGGCAGCCUCCUGGGCCAGCACUGACGCUCAUGCACGAAAGCGUGGGGAGCAAACAGG
rnacentral:rRNA from 1 species